rnacentral:rRNA from 1 species
GACGUAGGAUGCAAGCGUUGUCCGGAUUUAUUGGGCGUAAAGAGUUCGUAGGCUGUUUGUUAAGUCUGGUGUUAAAGACUGAGGCCCAACCUCGGAAAUGCAUCGGAUACUGGCAGACUUGAGUACGGUAGAGGCGAGUGGAAGUCCCAGUGUAGCGGUGAAAUGCGUAGAUAUUGGGAAGAACACCGGUGGCGUAGGCGACUCGCUGGGCCGCAACUGACGCUGAGGAACGAAAGCCAGGGGAGCGAAUGGG